rnacentral:rRNA from 1 species
UACGUAGGGGGCUAGCGUUGUCCGGAUUUAUUGGGCGUAAAGAGCGUGUAGGCGGCCAGGUAGGUCUGGUGUGAAAACUCGAGGCUUAACCUCGAGAUGUCAUCGGAAACCAUCUGGCUAGAGUCCGGAAGAGGAGAGUGGAAUUCCUGGUGUAGCGGUGAAAUGCGCAGAUAUCGGGAGGAACACCGGUGGCGAAGGCGGAUCUCUGGGCCUUACCUGACGCUGAGGCGCGAAAGCUAGGGGAGCGAACAGG